rnacentral:rRNA from 1 species
GACGAACGCUGGCGGCGUGCCUAACACAUGCAAGUCGAACGAACGGCGGAGAGCUUGCUCUCCAAUGUUAGUGGCGGACGGGUGAGUAACGCGUGAGUAACCUGCCUAUUAGAGGGGGAUAACGUUUGGAAACGAACGCUAAUACCGCAUAAAACCACAGUAUCGCAUGAUACAAUGGUCAAAGGAGAAAUCCGCUGAUAGAUGGACUCGCGUCUGAUUAGAUAGUUGGUGGGGUAAUGGCCUACCAAGGCGACGAUCUUUAGCUGGUCUGAGAGGAUGAUCAGCCACACUGGGACUGAGACACGGCCCAGACUCCUACGGGAGGCAGCAGUGGGGAAUAUUGGACAAUGGGGGGAAACCCUGAUCCAGCCAUGCCGCGUGAGUGAUGAAGGCCUUAGGGUUGUAAAGCUCUUUCAGUAGGGAAGAUAAUGACGGUACCUACAGAAGAAGCCCCGGCUAACCUUCGUG